GGCAGUCCUUUCUGCAGCACCCAGUGCCUGGGGAGCCCCUCUAAGGCUCUUCCCGUGUUCCCCAUGGACACCCUAACAGGCUGAUCACCAGCCACCCUACCUGUCAGAGGAACACACCACGGCUCAGACACAUGUGGGGACGCUCAAGACACACAGCAGGCCGUGGGCAGAGGCCCGACUGUGCCGAGGAGGGGGUGGGUGCUCACCAGGGGAGCCGCCGUCCCUUGGUCAGCUGCUCGGCUUCCUCGGGAGGGAGUUUGAGCUCAGGUGCGCUCGGGCUGGUGUGUGGAGCUGGUUGCACUCGUGCCGAGCGCUUUCUCCCCUUCCUCCUCACGCGUUUCCGGGGAGCCCUGCGCCUGGGGACCUCAGUCCCGUGGACAGUUGGCUCAUGUUCAGGCUGAGGGGGGCAGCAGGGGUAUAGUCAGUGGGAAACCCAGGUACCACCAGGACGAGGGAGGUUCGCAGCUCACCCGAGAGCCCCCAGCCCCCCGGGAUGCGAGCAAGGAGAGGCACGGGGUGCCCCCGGGGACGAGGUUCCAGGCCCUCUGGAGUGGGCCGGUCGGCCACGCUCGUGGGGCAGCCCUGGGAGGGCCCUGGCAGGUUGCCAGGUUUGGAACGGGGUCCUGGGUGUAGCCAGCCUGCCCCAGGCCCAGGGAGAUGGGGUAGGUGAGUCCAUCCACCAGCUCCUCGUCGCUCCCCAGGGUGGAGCUCUGCAAAGCCGGCGCCUGGUAGCUGCGGAGGAGGCACCCGGGGCUGCGUGGACCUCCCCGCAGGGGGCAGUGUGGGCCGCAAAGCCCGCCCCCGAGGUCAGGCGCACAGGGCCAUCUGCCUAGACAUCCAGUCCCUGGGGGAAGGAGAGGACACCCCCGGGCUCAGGACUAACAUGCGGGUGGAAGUGCCUGGUCCCAACACUCACCUCCACGUCCUGAAUGCUGCGACCAGAGCUGUGGCACUGACUCCCCCGCUAGGGGGCCACCACCUCGCAACGUGCUGCCACCCAGGAACGGCCCCCCUCCUCCCCAGCCUCCAGUCCCACCCAUGCCCCACGCCCACCGCACACACACAGGAAGGGCCGUGGGAAGAUCAGCCUGGGAUGGGUCACACUGUGGCCUGGCCCUGGAGUGGCCCGCUCUGGGCUGCCCUGUGUUACCUCGGGGCUCCUCGGGAGACACGGACAGAGGCGGUGGAGGAGGUCAAUGAGCCCGCGCCCACAGCGAGCAGCAGGACUCUCCGUCUCGGCUUCCCGGACUCCCACGCCUUCAGAAGGCUCCGCACAACAAGACCGCAUGUUGCUCUGUCGAGCGCCUCCGGUCAAUUCCGUGUCCCGCUGCGGCCGCGGUACCUCCCAGGAGCAGCCCAACGCCCCAACCUGCACAGGCAGUGUCAUGCCAGACGUUCCUCCCUAGGGACAUCCCCAGGGAUACAUGGAUGACCCCUCCAGCUCCUGGGGACUGGUGUCACGUGUGUCUGAUGCACAGACUCAGAGAUGGAGGAGUGCCAACCAGGCUUGGCACGGAGCGUGGAACAGCACGCAAGUCAGGCCGGGGUCCGGGCCUUGUGAUCUUGGGCAGGAAGAGAACAAAGAGCAUUUUCCUGAGCAAUACUUACACACUGGGUGCUUGGGGACCAAGUGAUGAAGCCCCAUGUGCAGCAGUAACUGCAAUCUGAGACACUCCGAUCACGGUGUCCAUCAUGCACUGUCAUCUCCAAGAUUCGUCCGUUUUCUGAGUAGGCCGAGUGAGUGACUUCAAUAAGGGUUUGUGGAAAUCACCACCCCCACGUCUUCCAAGGCCUUGGUGGGAACUCCAGUCUGUAACCUCUCCUGGAAGGCAGUACUGCUUUCAAUAUAUACUUCGGAGGGAGUUCUAGAGACUUGUACUUGCCCUGCCACACAGCACGAACUCCUGGCCGGCACAGUCCCCCGUGCCUAGCAAGGAGGAAGCCGGGAGCUCUGCGUCCCUGACAGCUCGGCCCUGUGGCCUCUGACACUGAAGGAGCGGCACUGCGGGCACUUGGUCGGGGUGGGGGGGGUGCUGCUCCUGAUACCAAGACCCGGUCCUCGUCCCUGAGGUCAAAUCACAAAACACAAUGACAAGGUUUUGAGGAAAGGAAAGGAGAGUUUAUUGACUUGCUAGCAAAUGAGGGAGUGGCAGGCUCCUGCCUUAGGGAACCACCUUCCUCCUGACACGCAAGCGGUCAGGGCUUUUCAAGGGGAAAUGGUAGGAGAGAGGCUGGGGUGCAGACACAUGAAGUAGCAGCUUGCAGGGGCCCAAGCAGACAUUCCCGCGCCAAUUCACUAGCGUUUUGUUUUUCUUUUCUGCUCCUCCUCAGUCCCCUGGGACAGAAUGCCUUUUGAGUCCCUUUUUUAGUGAACUUUACUGGCCUUAAUUCUCUCUCAUCCCGCUCAUAUCUAUUUUUCUGCCGAACACUCCCAAGACUGACCAGCCUCUCUGUAAACAUCCCAUAGACGUGCUGACAGGCCCCUCAGGUCUACAGUGUGUGACACCCAGGCAAGAAGCCUGGCUAUAAUUUCCAUUUUCUCCACACGAUCCUGCUCCUUUCAACAAAAAGAUGGAGGUCCUGGGUCAGCCCUUGGUCAACGUAGCUACUUGACCGGUGGUGGCAGCAAGAAUUUCUUCUCUCCCUGAGGUUCCCUUAGCUGGAGUAAGAAACAGAUUGACGUGAAACAGAUUAACAGGAGAAAAAGUAACAAAAUUUAGUUAAGUACAUACAGGGAAGCCAUAGACAUCUGUUCCACAGACAGGGUGUGGGUAAAAUUGCAAUAUUUGCAAAACUCUCUUGGCCUGGCUUUAGUGCAUGUCCGCAUCCACAGGGGUUUCCAAGGGGUGGAGAGAAGUAGUCCGUCUCCAUCAGUGGGUGAUUACGUGGGCGAGCGAGGGCUUCCCUGGACCAGAGAGCUUGGUGGGAGUAUUGGCUGUCUUCUACUGCAGCAGGAGAGAGAGAGAGAGAGAGGGAGACGCAGGGCGACUGCUUGUGGGCAAUAAACGGCUUUUGAACACUAUUUCUCCCUUUGCCUGAUUUCGCUUUCAAAGGUGUUUUGCCCUGGGAUCUCCCCUCCCUGGAGUUACGCAGGGAGAAUGAGGUCUGUGUGUCCUCCUGAACCACGGAGGAGGGGUGAGGGUCUGCAACUUCAAAGGGAAAGGGAAGUAAUUCACGGGAAUAUAAAACAGGAAACGUCUGGUAAAAUACUUGAUGGGACACAGAAACAAUGAGGGGGCAGAACGGGGAAUUUUAACAGACUAAAAUGAUACCGGGGUUCUUGUUCCCAGAGUCAAAGACUGAACUUCGCAAACACUGAUCGAGGUAGGAAAGAAAGCCAGGGAGGCUUUUAUUUAGAGAGAAAGUGGGAGAAAAGAGCUCCUGGGGCAUGCGGGGUGG